UACGGGGGGGGUAAGCGUUGUUCGGAAUUACUGGGCGUAAAGGGCUCGUAGGCGGCCAACUAAGUCAGACGUGAAAUCCCUCAGCUUAACUGGGGAACUGCGUCUGAUACUGGAUGGCUUGGAUUCGGGAGAGGAAUGCGGAAUUCCAGGUGUAGCGGUGAAAUGCGUAGAUAUCAGGAGGAACACCGGUGGCGAAGGCGCUCAUCUGGCCCAAUACUGACGCUGAUGCGCGAAAGCUAGGGGAGCAAACGGG
rnacentral:rRNA from 1 species